AUUGAACGCUGGCGGCAGGCCUAACACAUGCAAGUCGAACGAGUGGCGGACGGGUGAGUAAUGUCUGGGGAACUGCCUGAUGGAGGGGGAUAACUACUGGAAACGGUAGCUAAUACCGCAUACUAUCGGAUGUGCCCAGAUGGGAUUAGCUAGUAGGUGGGGUAAAGGUCCACCUAGGCGACGAUCCCUAGCUGGUCUGAGAGGAUGACCAGCCACACGGGAACUGAGAAACGGGCCAGACUCCUACGUGAGGCAGCAGUGGGGAAGAUUGCACAAUGGGCGAAAGCCUGAUGCAGCGAGGCCGCGUGGAUGAAGAAGGACUUCGGGUUGUAAAGUACUUUCAGCGGGGAGGCGUUACCUGCAGAAGAAGCACCGGCUAACUCCGUGCCAGCCGCCGCGGUAAUAC
rnacentral:rRNA from 1 species